UACGUAGGGUGCGAGCGUUAAUCGGAAUUACUGGGCGUAAAGGGUGCGCAGGCGGCGUCGCAAGUCAGGCGUGAAAUCCCCGGGCUUAACCUGGGAACUGCACUUGAAACUACGAUGCUGGAGUAUGGCAGAGGGAGGUGGAAUUCCACGUGUAGCGGUGAAAUGCGUAGAGAUGUGGAGGAACACCGAUGGCGAAGGCAGCCCCCUGGGCUAACACUGACGCUCAUGCACGAAAGCGUGGGGAGCAAACAGG
rnacentral:rRNA from 1 species